UACGAAGGGGGCUAGCGUUGCUCGGAAUUACUGGGCGUAAAGCGCACGUAGGCGGCUUGUUAAGUCAGGGGUGAAAUCCUGGAGCUCAACUCCAGAACUGCCUUUGAUACUGGCGAGCUUGAGUUCGGGAGAGGUGAGUGGAACUGCGAGUGUAGAGGUGAAAUUCGUAGAUAUUCGCAAGAACACCAGUGGCGAAGGCGGCUGUCUGGUCCGGUUCUGACGCUGAGGCGCGAAAGCGUGGGGAGCAAACAGG
rnacentral:rRNA from 1 species